AAUUAUUUAGCCUAGUGGUUAGGGCUAUGGAUCGCCAAUCCGAUGACGACGGGUUCGAUUUCCGUUCCGAUUG
rnacentral:tRNA from 1 species